UACGUAGGUGGCAAGCGUUGUCCGGAUUUAUUGGGCGUAAAGCGAGCGCAGGCGGUUUUUUAAGUCUGAUGUGAAAGCCUUCGGCUUAACCGGAGAAGUGCAUCGGAAGCUGGGAGACUUGAGUGCAGAAGAGGACAGUGGAACUCCAUGUGUAGCGGUGGAAUGCGUAGAUAUAUGGAAGAACACCAGUGGCGAAGGCGGCUGUCUAGUCUGUAACUGACGCUGAGGCUCGAAAGCAUGGGUAGCGAACAGG
rnacentral:rRNA from 1 species